GCCAGCGUAGCUCAACGGUAGAGCCCCGCUUUUGUAAAGCGGUGGUUGUGGGUUCGAUUCCCUCCGCUGGCU
rnacentral:tRNA from 2 species